rnacentral:lncRNA from 12 species
GUGAAAUUGUUGAAAAAUGCUUGAGAUGAAAGAGGCAGGGACCUCAUGAGCAGCGGGGACUCACAUGUGGCCACUCCCAGGAGUUUGGAUGUUUCAGGAACAGGGAAUGUUUGUGGCCCCACAGGGCUCUGGGACACAGCAUAAAAGGCUGCUCUGCUCCAGGCCCUGCAUCCUGCUCUCUGGCCUCCCUUUCCUCCAGGAACGAGCUCUGCCUCCUGCGCCCAGAGAUGUCUUGCUGCAGACCCUGUCCCCCACGGCCCUGCGGCCCCUGCGGCCCAACGCCCCUUGCCAGCAGCUGCAGUGAGCCCUGCCUCGCCCGCUGCGCUGACUCCACGGUGUAC